rnacentral:rRNA from 1 species
AGUUUGAUCCUGGCUCAGAUUGAACGCUGGCGGGAUGCUUUACAUGCAAGUCGAACGGCAGCACGGACUUCGGUCUGGUGGCGAGUGGCGAACAGGUGAGUAAUGUAUCGGAACGUGCCGUGGCGGUCAACUACGCGAAAGCGUAGCUAAUACCACAUACGCCCUUCGGGGAAAGCAGGGGACCUUCGGGCCUCGCACUAUUAGAGCGGCCGAUAUCGGAUUAGCUAGUUGGUGGGGUAACGGCUCACCAAGGCGACGAUCCGUAGCUGGUUUGAGAGGACGACCAGCCACACUGGGACUGAGACACGGCCCAGACUCCUACGGGAGGCAGCAGUGGGGAAUUUUUGGACAAUGGAAACCUGGUCAGCCAUCCGUGUGCGAUGAAGGCCUUCGGGUUGUAAAAGCACUUUUGGCAGGAAAGAAACGGCACAGGAUAAUACCCCGUGCAACUGACAGAAACACCUGCAGAAUAAGCACCGGCUAACCAUUGCCAGCAGCCGCCAGUAGCCAUGAAGAUUACCAGCGUUAAUCGGAAUUACUGGGCAUACGGCGUGCGCAGGCGGACGGAAAGAAAGAUGUGAAAUCCCAGAGCUUAACUUUGGAACUUUGCCCUGCAUUUUUUAACUACCGAGCUAGAGUGUGUCAGAGAGUGGAGCCACGCCGAUAAUAACCCGGUAAAUGCGUAGAUAUGCGGAGGAACACCGAUAGCGGCAGCCUCCUGAAUGCCUGGCGCUCAUGCACGAAAGCGUGAGGCAAAUAGGAUUGAAUGCCUGGUAGUCCGCCUAAACGAUGUCAACUAGCUGUUUAGGGCCUUCGGGCCUUGGUAGCGCAGCUAACGCGUGAAGUUGACCGCCUGCAAGUACAUUCGCAAGAUUAAAACUCAAAGGAAUUGAGCGGGGACCGCACGAAGCGGUGGAUGAUGUGGAUUAAUUCGAUCCCAACGCGAAAAACCUUACCUACCCUUGACAUGUCUGGAAUCCCGAAGAGAUUUGGGAGUGCUCGCAGAGAACCAGAACACAGGAGUGCUGCAUGGCUGUCGUCAGCUCGUGUCGUGAGAUGUUGGGUUAAGUCCCGCAACGAGCGCAGCCUUGUCAUUAGUUGCUACGAAAGGGCACUCUAAUGAGACUGCCCGGUGACAAACCGGAGGAAGGUGGGGAUGACGUCAAGUCCUCAUGGCCCAUAUAGGUAGGGCUUCACGUCAUACAAUGGUCGGGACAGAGGGUGCUUCCAACGCGAGGGAGACCAAUCAAAACCCGGUCAUGGUCGGGUCAUGAUCUGCAACUCGACUGCGUGAAGUCGGAAUCGCUGGUAAUCGCGGAUCAGCAUGUCGCGGUGAAUACGUUCCGGGUCUUGUACACACCGCCCGUCACACCAUGGAGAUGGGUUUUACCAGUAGUUAGCUAACCGUAAGGAGGGCGAUUACCACGGUAAGGAUUCAUGACUGGGGUGAAGUCGUAACAAGGUAA